AUUGAACGCUGGCGGCAGGCCUAACACAUGCAAGUCGAGCGGAUGAAGGGAGCUUGCUCCUGGAUUCAGCGGCGGACGGGUGAGUAAUGCCUAGGAAUCUGCCUGGUAGUGGGGGAUAACGUCCGGAAACGGGCGCUAAUACCGCAUACGUCCUGAGGGAGAAAGUGGGGGAUCUUCGGACCUCACGCUAUCAGAUGAGCCUAGGUCGGAUUAGCUAGUUGGUGGGGUAAAGGCCUACCAAGGCGACGAUCCGUAACUGGUCUGAGAGGAUGAUCAGUCACACUGGAACUGAGACACGGUCCAGACUCCUACGGGAGGCGGCAGUGGGGAAUAUUGGACAAUGGGCGAAAGCCUGAUCCAGCCAUGCCGCGUGUGUGAAGAAGGUCUUCGGAUUGUAAAGCACUUUAAGUUGGGAGGAAGGGCAGUAAGUUAAUACCUUGCUGUUUUGACGUUACCAACAGAAUAAGCACCGGCUAACUUCGU
rnacentral:rRNA from 1 species